AUUGAACGCUGGCGGCAUGCUUUACACAUGCAAGUCGAGCGGAGUGGCGGACGGGUGAGUAAUGUAUCGGGACCUGCCCGAUAGAGGGGGAUAACUACUGGAAACAGUGGCUAAUACCGCAUACUAUCGGAUGAACCCAUAUCGGAUUAGCUAGUUGGUGGGGUAAAGGCUCACCAAGGCGACGAUCUUUAGCUGGUCUGAGAGGAUGAUCAGCCACACGGGGACUGGGAAACGGCCCAGACUCCUACGGGAGGCAGCAGUGGGGAAUAUUGGACAAUGGGGGAAACCCUGAUGCAGCCAGCCGGCGUGUAUGAUGAAGGCCUUCGGGUUGUAAAGUACUUUCAGCGGGGAAGCGGUACCGGCAGAAGAAGCACCGGCUAACUACGUGCCAGCAGCCGCGGUAAUUC
rnacentral:rRNA from 1 species